AGGUCGUAACAAGGUUUCCGUAGGUGAACCUGCGGAAGGAUCAUUAAAAGUAAUUGGUUAUACAUAUCCUGUAUCAACUGCACAAACCAUUCCGCAGUACCUUGCCUGUUGCUUCCAUGGGGCCUGGACUUUGGUCACUCUUGUGAUGCGAAUCCCAAGACGAGUCCCAUGGGGGUAAUCAUUGAAAUUCAUAAUCCAAUGCUCUUCUGUCUGAAUGAUUAAAAAGCAAAAUGUUAAAA
rnacentral:misc_RNA from 1 species